UGCGUAGACGGAUUUAUAAGUCAGUGGUGAAAUCCUACAGCUUAACUGUAGAACUGCCAUUGAUACUGUAGAUCUUGAGUACGGUUGAGGUGGGCGGAAUGUGUCAUGUAGCGGUGAAAUGCUUAGAUAUGACACAGAACACCAAUUGCGAAGGCAGCUCGCUAAACCGUAACUGACGCUGAGGCACGAAAGCGUGGGGAGCGAACAGGAUUAGAUACCCUGGUAGUCC
rnacentral:rRNA from 1 species